rnacentral:rRNA from 1 species
GGGAACUCGGCAAAAUACCCCCGUAACUUCGGGAUAAGGGGGACCUGAUGCGUAUUAGAAUUUACUUCGAAAGCGUUGAGGGUCGCAGAGACCAGGCCCAAGCGACUGUUUACUAAAAACACAGGUCCGUGCUAAGUCGAAAGACGAUGUAUACGGACUGACUCCUGCCCGGUGCUGGAAGGUUAAGGGGAAGGGUUAGCCGUGAGGCGAAGCCUUGAACUUAAGCCCCAGUAAACGGCGGUGGUAACUAUAACCAUCCUAAGGUAGCGAAAUUCCUUGUCGGGUAAGUUCCGACCUGCACGAAUGGAGUAACGAUUUGGGCGCUGUCUCCACCAUGGACUCGGCGAAAUUGCACUACGAGUAAAGAUGCUCGUUACGCGCAGCAGGACGGAAAGACCCCGGGACCUUCACUAUAGUUUGGUAUUGGUGAUCGGUGUGACUUGUUAGGAUAGGUGGGAGACUUUGAAGCUUGGACGCCAGUUCAGGUGGAGUCAUCGUUGAAAUACCACUCUGGUCACUCUGGUUAUCUAACCUAGGUCCAUUAUCUGGAUCAGGGACAGUGCCUGAUGGGUAGUUUGACUGGGGCGGUCGCCUCCUAAAAGGUAACGGAGGCGCCCAAAGGUUCCCUCAGCCUGGUUGGCAAUCAGGUUUCGAGUGUAAGUGCACAAGGGGGCUUGACUGCGAGAGAGACAUCUCGAGCAGGGACGAAAGUCGGGACUAGUGAUCUUCUGGUGGCACAUGGAAGCGCCAGGACUCAACGGAUAAAAGGUACCCCGGGGAUAACAGGCUGAUCUUGCCCGAGCGUCCAUAGCGACGGCAUGGUUUGGCACCUCGAUGUCGGCUCGUCGCAUCCUGGGGCUGGAGUCGGUCCCAAGGGUUGGGCUGUUCGCCCAUUAAAGCGGCACGCGAGCUGGGUUUAGAACGUCGUGAGACAGUUCGGUCCCUAUCCGCUGCGCGCGUAGGAGUCUUGAGAAGAGCUGUCCUUAGUACGAGAGGACCGGGACGGACUAACCUCUGGUGUGCCAGUUGUUCUACCAAGAGCACGGCUGGUUGGCUACGUUGGGAAGUGAUAACCGCUGAAAGCAUCUAAGCGGGAAGCACGCUUCAAGAUGAGGGCUCCCACAGAUUAAUCUGGUAAGGCCCCCUAUAGACCAUGGGGUGAUAGGUCGGAUGUGGGAGUGCAGUAAUGUACGGAGCUGACCGAUACUAAUAGGCCGAGGGCUUGUUCC